rnacentral:rRNA from 1 species
UACGAAGGGGGCGAGCGUUGUUCGGAUUUACUGGGCGUAAAGGGCGCGCAGGCGGCCAUCUUUGUCAGGCGUGAAAGCCCCGGGCUUAACCUGGGAGGUGCGCUUGGGACGGGGUGGCUAGAGAUCGGGAGAGGAGAGUGGAAUUCCCAGUGUAGAGGUGAAAUGCGUAGAUAUUGGGAGGAACACCAGUGGCGAAGGCGGCUCACUGGACCGGAACUGACGCUGAGGCGCGAAAGCGUGGGGAGCAAACAGG